GAGGGGGAUAGCUCGAGGAAACUCGAAUUAAUACCGCAUAAUCUCCACGGAGUAAAGAGGGCUUCGGCUCUUGCCAUCGGAUGAGCCUAUGCAGGAUUAGCUUGUUGGUGAGGUAAAGGCUUACCAAGGCGACGAUCCUUAGCUGGUUUGAGAGGAUGACCAGCCACAUCGGGACUGAGACACGGCCCGGACUUCUACGGAAGGCAGCAGUAGGGAAUAUUGGACAAUGAGCGAAAGCUUGAUCCAGCCAUGCCGCGUGUGCGAUGACGGCCCUCGGGUUGUAAAGCACUUUAGGUAACGAGGAAAAGUUAGGUGUUAAUACCAUCUAACCUUGACGUUAAUUACAGAAUAAGCACCGGCUA
rnacentral:rRNA from 1 species